AAAGUUAAACGGCCGCGGUAUCCUGACCGUGCAAAGGUAGCAUAAUCACUUGUUCCUUAAUUAGGGACUAGCAUGAAUGGCUUUACGAGGGUUCAACUGUCUCUUAUUCUCAAUCAGUGAAAUUGACCUUCCAGUGAAGAGGCUGGAAUAAUAAAAUAAGACGAGAAGACCCUAUGGAGCUUAAAUUAACUAGCUUAAUUAACAAAAUUUAACCUAAUGGACUAAUAAAAAGAAAGAUAAGCUAGCAAUUUCGGUUGGGGUGACCUCGGAGAAUAAAAAAUCCUCCGAAUGAUUUUAGCAUAGACUAACAAGUCAAAGCAACAUUCUAAAUCUUAUUGAUCCAAAACUUUGAUCAACGGACCAAGUUACCCUAGGGAUAACAGCGCAAUCCUAUUUAAGAGUUCAUAUCGACAAUUAGGGUUUACGACCUCGAUGUUGGAUCAGGACAUCCCAA
rnacentral:rRNA from 1 species